rnacentral:precursor_RNA from 1 species
GACCGUAUUCAUGGAAGAGGAUUGAACAGACUACUGAGUUCUUAAGAGAAAAAUGGCACUUAAGAAAUUGAUGGUGAUAUCAAAGGAAGGUUACUUAUUACUCUUGGACUUUGAUGAUGAGGACGAUGACAUAAAAGUUUCAGAGGAGGCUCUUGCGGAAGUAAAGAGCCCAGGAUUUGAUAAGAAUGAGAAUAUAUCGCCUCAAGCAGAAGCAGAUGAAUAUAUGGGAGAUGAAGUAGACAGUAUGUUGGAUAAAUCUGGAGAGAUGAAAUUGACAGUAUGUUGGCUACAUCUGGAGGUCUUUUCUCCUGAGAACACGGGACUCCAGCAUCUUCGGAUUCUGCUCUUGGAGGGGUUUGCCCCACAUCCUCUAUAUUGCAGAAAACAAGACUAGGCUCUACCUCUGUAGAUCAAGCACGACUGAAAUCCGUGCUCUCAAAAGAUGCUGGGGAGAAAGAGUGCCAUUCUUCACAAAUGCUGCUGCAUCAUUGGACUGAAAGUGAAUGGCCCAUGUGUUGCCACUGAUGUGAGCCAUUUGCCUGUUGUGCUUCAA